AAAUGUAGCAAUACAGAGUAAAGUGGCGUACGGGUGAGUAACACGUGGGUAAUCUACCAAAGAGCCCGGAAUAACCGGCCGAAAGGCUGGCUAAUACUGGAUAGUUCAAGCCUGUUGUAAUGGCAGGAUUGGGAAAGGGAGCGGGUAACCGCCUUCACUUUUUGAUGAGCCCGCGUCUGAUUAGCUAGUUGGUGAGGUAAUGGCUCACCAAGGCAGAGAUCAGUAGCUGGUCUGAGAGGAUGAUCAGCCACACUGGAACUGAAACACGGUCCAGACUCCUACGGGAGGCAGCAGUGGGGAAUCUUGCGCAAUGGACGAAAGUCUGACGCAGCCACGCCGCGUGAGUGAAGAAGGCCUUCGGGUUGUAAAGCUCUGUCGGAAGGGACAAAAACCUCAUUAGUUAAUAGCUAGUGAGCUUGAUGGUACCUUUAAAGGAAGCACCGGCUAACUUCGUGCCAGCAGCCGCGGUAAUACGAAGGGUGCAAGCGUUGCUCGGAAUUAUUGGGCGUAAAGGGUAGGUAGGUGGUAAUAAAAGUCUGGGGUGAAAUCCCUGAGCUCAACUCAGGACGUGCCUUGGAAACUUUACUACUAGAGUGCUGGAGAGGUUCGCAGAAUUCCCGGUGUAGCGGUGAAAUGCGUAGAGAUCGGGAGGAAUACCAGAGGCGAAGGCGGCGAACUGGACAGCAACUGACACUCAACUACGAAAGCGUGGGUAGCAAACAGGAUUAGAUACCCUGGUAGUCCACGCUGUAAACGAUCGGUACUAGAGUUCGUGGGAGUUGACCCCUGCGGACUCGGAGCUAACGCGAUAAGUACCGCGCCUGGGAAGUACGGUCGCAAGACU
rnacentral:rRNA from 1 species